AAGCUAUUCUUUUAUAGGAAAAGGCUGAAGUCAAGUCCUUAUGGUCUAUGUACAUCGGGCUACACACGUACUACAAUGGUAAAAACAAAAAGUAACGAAAGCGUAAGCUAGAGUCAACCUUUAAAAAUUACCUUAGUUCAGAUUGUAUUUUGAAACUUAAAUGCAUGAAGCUGAAAUCAUUAGUAAUCGUAGAUAAUAAUGCUACGGUGAAUGAAAAGUCAGAUUUUGCACACACCGCCCAUCACGCCCGGAGAAUUUUUGAGGCCGUUAUAACAAAAAGUUUUACGUUAUGGUAUUUUAAUUAUCUUUUUAAAAUCAGAAUAGUAUAUAAGUUAUUAGUUUAGCUAGUAUUAGUAGUUAGCGCAAUAUUUUGUUAGAUGGUAGCCUAAGUAAUUUGGGUGAAGUUGACACAAGGUACUCCUAGGGGAACCUGGGGGUUGAGUAAGUAGUUUAGAUUAUUUUUAUUAUUUUAUAAAGUAAUAAUCCUAUUAAGUAGUAUGGAUUAAAAUUAUUUUUUAUUGGGGAGCUUACCUCAAAGCUAAAAAUUGCAAAACUUUAAAGUGAAUUAGUAUCGUGAGAGAAUGGUGAAAAGAAUUCCUUGAUGAAUUUUAAAAGAAUUUGAAACCUAAUGUAGUGUGCAGUUAUAGCUUAUUGUUAUAGCGUACCUUUUGUAUAAUGAGCUAGUUAGUUUAUUGUUAUAGCAAGCUUAUUUAAUAUGUUAAGCGCACUGAAAAGAUUUUAAGUUAUAAUAAUAAGACCCGAAGCUAAGUGAUCUAAUUAUGGCUAGGUUGAUUAAUUUUUUUAAAUUAGGAGGACCGAACUUAUAAAUGUUGCAAUAUUUUAAGAUAAGCUAUGGUUAGGGGUGAAAGGCUAAUCAAACUUAGUGAUAGCUGGUUUUCUGCGAAACCUAUUUAGGUAGGGAUAAUCUUAGCUGUAGUAUAAAGGUAAUUAAGUACGAUCGCGGAUUAGUUUUUUCAAACUACUGUAACAUUGUAGAGAUAUGAAUUUUAUGUACAUGUGUAGAUUUAUCAGACGUUAGGCGCUAAGGUCUAAUGUCAAAAGGGAAACAGCCCAGACUAAAUAUUAAAGCUUAUAAAUAAACUUAAGUCAAAUACCUUUAAAUUUUAUAUUUCUAAGAAGUAGGCUUGGAGGCAGUCAUCUUUUAAAGAAAGCGUAAUAGCUCAUUAGAAAUUAAUACUUAGUUGAUAUAUAGUAACUAAUUUAAGGGUUCAUAAUAAAAAAAUUAAGUUUAUGCUGAAAUAAUAGAUUAUAUUUAAUAUAAUGGUAGCAGAAUGAUUUGUUAACUGUUGAAAAACUAUGGGUACAUAGUUUUGAGGUAUCAAAUUUAUAUAUACUAGUAUGAGUAAUAGACAUGCUGUGAAAAACAGCUAUCGCCAAUAACUUUAGGGUUGUACUGAUUAGAUAAUCUUACAGUAUGUAAACGGCUUCUUAGAUUAAAAUUAAAUUAUAGUCUAUGAUUAUUAUAUAUUUUGGUAGUAAUUUAUUAAUUAAAGUUUAGUAAUCUUAACAUUUUAUUUUUAAUGUUAAACUUACCUACUGCCCUGGAAACAGUAUAUAACAAAACCGUACUAACAUAAACACAUAUAAGUUGCUUGAGUAAAGUAAGGCGUAAGGGUUAAUAAUAUUAAAGGAACUCGGCAAAUUGACUCUGUAACUUCGGGAUAAGGAGGUCUAUAUUAGAAUAAUAAAGUAGGGGGUAGCGACUGUUUAUCAAAAACAUAAGACUUUGCUAAAUGUAAUAAUGAUGUAUAAAGUCUGACAUCUGCCCGGUGCCGCAAAGCGAAAAUUGACGAGUUACCUUGUUGGUAUAAGCUCCGGUAAACGGCGGUCGUAACUCUGACGAUCCUAAGGUAGCGAAAUUCCUUGGCAGGUAAGUUCUGUCCCGCACGAAUGAUGUAACGACUGCCCCGCUGUCUCUAAUAUUACCCCUAUGAAAUUGAAUUAGUUGUGAAGAUGCGACUCGGUAUAGCUAGACGGAAAGACCCUAUACACCUUUACUAUAACCUAUUUACUGAGAGUAUCUUUAAAAAAUUAGCAGGUUUUAUACUGAAACUAAUUUAUAAUUAGAGCUCUCUGCUAUUAUUUACCAAUUGAACAUUAUAAUAUAAUAUUUAAAUAGGUAGGUAGUUUGGCUGGGGCGGCGUCCUUCUAAAAAGUAACGAAGGAUUAUAAAUAGCUUUAUUUAACAAAUACGUUUGUAAGUAUAUUAAAAUAAAUUUAUAAAGCUUGAUUAAAGUACAAACAAGUAUUUUAAGGGUAAUAUUUGCCUAUUAUAUUGAACCGAUUUAUUAUCUAGGUAUACAAAUCGAUCUACGAAUAAAAGGUACGUUAGGGAUAACAGGCUUAUGAAUUUUGAGAGUCCAUAUCAAUAAAUUCGUUUGGCACCUCGAUGUCGACUCAUCGCGUCCUGGUGGUGAAUAUUCUGCCAAGGGUUCGGCUGUUCGCCGAUUAAAGCGGUACGUGAGUUGGGUUCAGAGCGUCGUGAGACAGGUUGGUCCCUAUCUACUAUACCAUAUACAUACUUUAUAAAAUCUUACUUUAGUACGAGAGGACUAGGAAGGGUUAGCCGCUGGUGUUAAAAUUAUUUUUAAAAGUAUAGUUUUAUAGCUACGCUAAUUAUUGAUAAUAACUAAGUUAAUAGUUAGAAGCAAUAUUAUACAAGUAUGUAAUAGUUUAAUAUAAAAUAUUUUUUAUGAUUUAUCUUUUUUGUAAGGUCAGUAAUAACCUACACAGGAAAUUAAUUUAAAAACUAAAUAAAAACUAACAUUA
rnacentral:rRNA from 1 species